UAUUAUUAUUGGGCUUCGUGUAGGUAUUCUCAAUUCGCGGAAAUUCGACAGUUGUCCGGAUCUGUGAAUUUCCGGCCAGACAGACCAGCUACCGGAAAAGUCUCCGAAUUGGAUCGAGGUUUUGGCUACCCCACCAUUGUCAGGCAUCCCGAGCGCGUUCCCGAAGUCGGAAUCGGCAAAGGUGAGCCGGGACAGCCUUCUUCCUCCGCCCAGCCGCCACAGUGAUUGUCGUCAAGUCUGCCACAGGAGGAUAUUUUUUUGAGGUUAACCUGCUUUCUCCCUCGCAGGUCGAUUACUACUGUUUGUAUAAACUUGUUAAAUCUUAGAAUUUCCGCAUGUGUUAGAAAUGUUUAUUUGAUUUGGGUCUGUAAACUAAAUUAU